GCUGAAGCACAAUGCACAAGAUGAUAGAGCAGGCAAGAAGUUACAUCCCUUAGCCAACAGGCUGUGGGGGAGGGUUAAAAAUUAUUUUCUGGAACAUCAUCUGAGUGUAGACCGGUGUUGACAGGACCAGCAACACAGCACCAAGAUAUCUUGGGGCUUUGCACUUCAGCAGCUGAGCUCUGGGGAAUACUUCAUAGCUGCCUCCAAAAUAGAAUAGCAAAGUAGUGUAGUCUGGGGAAGAGCAUCUUUGAUCUUAAGUUAUUAAUUGCAAGCUAUUGAAACUACUGGAUCUAGACUUUUCCUCAUUAGUGCCUUGGUCUUGCAUCUGUGAAACAGGAAUAUUACUGUUUCCCUACCUAAGAGUAUGAUGAGGAUAAAAGUCUGUGAAUUCUUAUCCAUUACUGGGAGACCUGAAGAUACAAAUGAGGCAGUACAGCACCAAAAAAUAGCCACAACAGAAUCCAUCACCAGGCACUUUUGUCAUUGCAUAGAGGAAUGAAAUACUCAAGUGGUGGCAAAUUAAAGUUCCUGACAAUUUCUUCCUACUGUAGCUUUAUUCCAUUAAAAACAAACAGCCAUUCAGAACAUAUCACUAUUGUGCAAGGUUACUGAUCACAGACUAUGCAUUGACAUCAUUACUUUAGCUUUGUCCACUGCUUGGAGAUUGCCAUUGGCAUUGGUGCUGAUUAGCAUGCUGGAAUCAAAACCCCAUUGGCCAUGAGGUUUACGCACAUGGAAGGCAAGAGCACACAGACACAAAGUAGAUUGGCAGCACCCAGGGACAGGAGCCCAGUGCAGCUCCUAAGUAAAUCAUGUUUUAUUGGACAUUAUACUUCUUGACCAUGGUCCAAAAGAAAAGAUCAGUCUUGUUUUUAGAAGUUGGGACUGAAAGGGGAACUGGUAGAUGAAGUAUGUGGGCAAAACUGCAUGCACCUUUCAAAUUCCUAAUUUCUCCUCCCUCUGUUUAGAUUUUCUAAGGAUUAUCCUGUUUCAUUGCACACAGGUCAAAGGUUUUCUUUUUUAUUUAUUUAGAGUUUUUCUAUUUCCUGAAUAUGUGUAUCUAUUAAAAGGUUUGGGAAGCUGUGUUUUGUACUUGAUGGAAUCUCACCUUGCUUUUCCUUUCUUAUGGCAAAACCAAAACCACAGCUAGUUUUGGAUUUGAACUCACUAGGAAACACAGAAAGACCUCAGAUUUUCUCUAUCUAUUUACAGGGGAGCAAUCACCAUGGCAUAGCACCAUUUCAGAUAGAACCUCCCCUUUGUACAUUCAGAAAAGACAGGGCAAGAGGAGGCAAAAAGGGGAGGUAUAGAUAAACUGAAGCUUGAGCUGAGUGCACUCAGGAAGCCAAGUAGAGCAUUAGAAAACAAUACAGCAAGGAGAAAGGUUGGCUCUUGCUGAAUACACCUGGACAGAUUCACACAAAUCAUCAAUUUUUGGAAGUUACAGCACAGAGCUCAGGUCAGGAGGCUGUCAGUGGGUGUAUAGGUCUCAUGCUGAACUAGAACAUCCAUGGACCGUUCCUAUAGCACCGGUUCAGCUCCUUUAUGCAGAGACAAAGAAGCAUCUACAGAGGGCAAAUGCUCAGAUCAUUAUCACCUUUUUACAUCAUUUUCUCACUGUUUUUACCUUUCCUGUUGUAUCUUGAAGACUUACUAGUUGCAAGCACUUUCUCUGACUUCUUAAAGAAUGUCACAGCAGAUUGUGAUGUGUCAACACAAGUACAGGUGUCCAAAACAGCAAUAGUGAAAUGGAAUUGUGGAAAAUAGUAUCAUGAAAGGAACAUCUCCAAAGGCUGAAGAGUUAUACCCUGGUUGGCUCUAUUAGAUAAUUGGCUGUGAAUUCUGAAUCUUGGCCUCUCGUUUGAAGACAUGUCAUUUAAUGGACAGCUAAAACAUAAAUAAUCAGCCAUUAAUGUUAAAAAUAUCAUUUAGAAUCUGCUACAACAAGAUCAGAUGAAUCAAAACCUCUCCAGCCCUAGAAAUAUCUGCACAUGCCUAUAAAACAUGGACACAAAAGAAAGGAACUUCACUUUUCCAGGAUCAGUAGGAAAGUUCAGUCCUGUAAGAGGACAGGAGGUCUCUUGCAGGAAAAAGGGAAGAAAAAAGUCAAAUUUCACAUUUUGUAAAAGAACAGAUAGAGGAAACCCCAUGAUUUCAAGGACUAGAUUCAAGGAAAGGGCCUAGUGGGACAGAGAAGAAACUAACCCAGAAAGGACUGAAUGGGAUGGAGUGGAGACUAAAACUGACGAGCUGUUUCAAAAAUCUGCAAGGCAAUGGAGUCCAACCCAGAAAAGGAAUCUAUACCAGAAAUAAACCCAUUUACUUCACUCCCAGGACCACAGCAAGCUGCUUUCCUACUGUGUUUCUGGCUGAGAAGCUUGGCUGACAGCUCUGCAGACAGCAGUGUUCCAGCGUCAUUCAUGGACAGAGCGUCAAGCACCAGAAGAGCACUACUUAUGCACAGCCCAGUGGUAUCUACCACUACCUCACAUGGGAGCUGGGAGCUUUACAGCAUGUAUGCUACAGUACCACUGGAGAAUGGCAAAAGCCAGAGAUAAAAAAACAGAGUGGAAGCACACAUCUACUGCUCAUUAAGUGACUUCAGGUGAUACCAGUGGGUUUUGUGCAUGUGUCUACAUGGGUUUUUUUCCUCAGCUCUAGCAGAGAAUAUUUUAUUUGCUUACUGAAGUUUUCACAUGCUAUAUGUUGUUGCUGUUUUGUUUUGUUUCUUAAAUCUCUCACCUAUAUAUUUAUUAUAGACGGAUAUUAUACCCUCACAGUAUAGAAACACUGCAAAGUGCUAGUUAAGUUCUCAGAGCUGACUGAAUAAUACCAUAAAUACAAGGGUACUGAAAUGACAACAAUAAAGAGAGCUGUACUUUGAG